GGAUUCUGGGCGUAAGCGUGCGUAGGCGGUUAUUUAAGUCAGAUGUGAAAGCCCCGUUUAAAACCUGGGAACUGCAUUUGAUACUGGGUAACUACCGUUGAGUAGAGGAGAGGGGAAUUUCAGGUGUAGCGGUGAAAUGCGUAGAGAUCUGAAGGAACACCAGUGGCGAAGGCGCCUCUCUGGACUCAAACUGACGCUGAGGUACGAAAGCGUGGGUAGCAAACAGGAUUAGAUACCCUGGUAGUCCACGCCGUAAACGAUGUCAACUAGCCGUUGGUCUUAUUCGUAAGAUUAGUGGCGCAGCUAACGCAUUAAGUUGACCGCCUGGGGAGUACGGCCGCAAGGUUAAAACUCAAAUGAAUUGACGGGGGCCCGCACAAGCGGUGGAGCAUGUGGUUUAAUUCGAUGCAACGCGAAGAACCUUACCUACCCUUGACAUCCAUAGAAU
rnacentral:rRNA from 1 species